rnacentral:rRNA from 1 species
AGAGUUUGAUCCUGGCUCAGGAUGAACGCUGGCGGCGUGCUUAACACAUGCAAGUCGAGCGAAGCACUUCCUUCGGGAGGUGACUGAGCGGCGGACGGGUGAGUAACGCGUGGGUAACCUGCCUCAUACAGGGGGAUAACAGUUAGAAAUGACUGCUAAUACCGCAUAAGCGCACAGGAUUGCAUGAUCCAGUGUGAAAAACUUUUGAGGUAUAAGAUGGACCCGCGUCUGAUUAGUUAGUUGGCGGGGUAACGGCCCACCAAGACGACGAUCAGUAGCCGGCCUGAGAGGGUGAACGGCCACAUUGGGACUGAGACACGGCCCAAACUCCUACGGGAGGCAGCAGUGGGGGAUAUUGCACAAUGGGGGAAACCCUGAUGCAGCGACGCCGCGUGAGUGAAGAAGUAUUUCGGUAUGUAAAGCUCUAUCAGCAGGGAAGAAAAUGACGGUACCUGACUAAGAAGCUCCGGCUAAAUACGUGCCAGCAGCCGCGGUAAUACGUAUGGAGCAAGCGUUAUCCGGAUUUACUGGGUGUAAAGGGAGCGUAGACGGUGUGGCAAGUCUGAUGUGAAAGCUUGGGGCUCAACCCCGAAACUGCAUUGGAAACUGUCAGACUAGAGUGUCGGAGAGGUAAGUGGAAUUCCUAGUGUAGCGGUGAAAUGCGUAGAUAUUAGGAGGAACACCAGUGGCGAAGGCGGCUUACUGGACGACAACUGACGCUGAGGCGCGAAAGCGUGGGGAGCAAACAGGAUUAGAUACCCUGGUAGUCCACGCUGUAAACGAUGAAUACUAGGUGUGGGGGGACUGACCCCCUCCGUGCCGCAGUUAACACAAUAAGUAUUCCACCUGGGGAGUACGACCGCAAGGUUGAAACUCAAAGGAAUUGACGG